GCCUGACGCAGCGACGCGCGUGGGGGAUGACCGCUCGGUGUAAACUCUUUACAACCAACGCAGCUCGAGUCUCUCGGGUGACGUAGUGGGGAAUAAGGACUGGCUAACUACGUGCCAGCAGCCGCGGUAAUACGUAGGGUCCGAGCGUGUCUGGAAUUAUUGGGCGUAAAGAGCUCGUAGGCGGCGUGUCGCGUCUGCUGUGAAAGACCGGGGCUUAACUCCCGGUUCUGCAGUGGAUACGGGCAUGCUAGAGGUAGGUAGGGGAGACUGGAAUUCCUGGUGUAGCGGUGAAAUGCGCAGAUAUCAGGAGGAACACCGGUGGCGAAGGCGGGUCUCUGGGCCUUACCUGACGCUGAGGAGCGAAAGCAUGGGGAGCGAACAGGAUUAGAUACCCUGGUAGUCCAUGCCGUAAACGUUGGGCGCUAGGUGUGGGGACUUUCCACGGUUUCCGCGCCGUAGCUAACGCAUUAAGCGCCCCGCCUGGGGAGCACGGCCGCAAGGCUAAAACUCAAAGGAAUUGACGGGGGCCCGCACAAGCGGCGGAGCAUGUUGCUUAAUUCGACGCAACGCGAAGAACCUUACCAAGGUUUGACAUCACCCGUGGACUCGCAGAGAUGUGAGGUCAUUUAGUUGGCGGGUGACAGGUGGUGCAUGGCUGUCGUCAGCUCGUGUCGUGAGAUGUUGGGUUAAGUCCCGCAACGAGCGCAACCCUUGUUCCAUGUUGCCAGCACGUAAUGGUGGGGACUCAUGGGAGACUGCCGGGGUCAACUCGGAGGAAGGUGGGGAUGACGUCAAGUCAUCAUGCCCCUUAUGUCUUGGGCUGCAAACAUGCUACAAUGGCCGGUACAAUGGGCGUGCGAUACCGUAAGGUGGAGCGAAUCCCUAAAAGCCGGUCUCAGUUCGGAUUGGGGUCUGCAACUCGACCCCAUGAAGGUGGAGUCGCUAGUAAUCGCGGAUCAGCAACGCCGCGGUGAAUACGUUCCCGGGCCUUGUACACACCGCCCGUCACGUCAUGAAAGUCGGCAACACCCGAAACUUGCGGCCUAACCCCUUGUGGGAGGGAGUGAGUGAAGGUGGGGCUGGCGAUUGGGACG
rnacentral:rRNA from 1 species